CAUGAUGUCACAGGCACUUUCGGCAGCGAUUACAGAAGAACGGCUAGACCGAUUUUCAUUACAGAAAGUUUAUCCGAUAGAGGAUGAGGAUCUGCUGACAGUGAGGAGCCAAUGAUGUCUGGAUAUAAGACUCUGCAGAGAAGAUGGAGCUGGGGGAAGACCUGGUCUCUGGACCCGAUGAAGAAAAUAUAACAGAGAAGAUGUCACUCAAGGCAGAAGACGUCACUCAGUUUUAGAAAACGGGAGAAGGAAGAUAUAACUGAGGAACACUCUGGGAUCCUGGAUAGAAGAGAGUUCGUGGAAGGAGUCUGGAGGUCUUUGUUAUUCAAAUGAUCGUUCCAUUAUUCUCCAACGAUAAUGAAUAAUACAUCACACAAAGGAAUAAAGACUGGUUCAGCCCAUGUCCAACCAUGAGCACGGGGGGAUUAAAGGGAUACCGAGUAAUGUCGUAAUUGGAAACAGAACAGACUGAGAAUCUAAAGCAUAAUAGAACGCUGUGUUAAAUAAUUAAAGAAGAUGAAGCAAGGUUAUUGUUAUUCAAUGUUAUGUACAGUUAUUCAUUUAUUAUUUUUAGCAUUCUAUAUAUUUAUACAUCAUUUUAGAUAUAUGGUG